CACGCGUCGUGGGCGCAGCGGGCACAACCGCACAAACCCUACCCCAAUCCACAACCGCCACCCGGUCCCUCCUCCUCCUCCUCCUCCUCCCUCCCUCGUAUGCCGCCGCCACUCCCUCCCUCCUCCCUCCUCGUCGCCCCUGCCUCUACCCUAGGAGCUCCGCCACCUCCCACGCGCUCGUCCUCUCAUCUCCCAUGUCACGCCGUCGGCCCCUGCCAAGCCAUAGUGGUGCUCUACUUGCGCCCUCGCCUCUGGUAUCACCAGGCCCUCGAUGCCGGCCUCGUCGGCUUGCCGCCGCGCUCGAAGUUGUGGCCCUGGCUGCGCGUCUCGUCGCGCUCGGGAUUCACCCAUGCGCCCUCCCGCCCUGGGGAACGUGCAAAAGGGUCAAAACCCUAGCCGCCAGCAGUUCUCGUCAAGCCUCCUCCGCCUCGUCUCCUCCCUGCUCCCUCAUCUCCCACGUCGCCGCCUUCACUUCGUCUCCUCCCCGCUCCCUCCUCUCCAACGCCGGCGCCCUCGAUGCACUGUAAGGGACGCCGUCGACAGGUCGGGGAUACGCAGCGACGGAGCUCAGCCAGAGCAGAGCACAACCCCACUCCUAACCCUAUUCGCUUGAUGACAAGAGCAGGGCAACGGAUUGGAUCGAGGGCGCCCUGGCUUGGCCACCGCUGCCACCUGGAUUCGCUAGCCGCUGCGUGGAGUUGCCCUGGCCGCCGCCUUGAGUCACCUCCGUCACCGCCUUGAGUCAGCUCCACCGUUGCCGCCAGGAAUCCCAUCCCGGCAAGGUACCCUACGCCUACCUUCCGAUCUUCAGAUCUCCAUAUUUGGUGAAUGCGAUGUUUUGGUUUCGUCAGAUUACUAUCUAUAUUUGGGGAUUAGCUACGAAUUGAUGUUCUUAGUUCGAGCGAGGAUACUCGACAGUGGUGAUUUAGAUCUUUUUGUAGAACAGAAUAAUUAACUUGGUCUAUUUCUGGAGAACUGCAGUGUAGAUGAUAUAUGCAUGAACGAUCGUAGCACUGAAAAUGCAAAAUUUACAGUAUGGUGUAAUGAUGGUCGGGUGUGACUUUUUCGAUGGCAUUGCCCAGUGCAGUUUUCGGAUUUCUACUGAGUGGUACCGUGUUCUGAGAUAUUUUUUGUGUGUUGCUAUCCGCAGGAAAAUUCCUAGGGAUUUGAUUGAUGGAGGCAUCACUAUUUGGCGCUGGAUUAUCCAUUUUUGCAGCACCAGCAAUGUUGUUUUUUGUUUGGAAUGGUCAAUUCUCAAUUUCUAAAUCAGCUAUACUAUACUUCUUGUCAGGUUACAUUAUCUUGCUUGGUUUCAGUCUAUAUGUAGCACAAAAAUAGAUGACAUGGUUGGUUUGUAGGUUACAUUAAGGAACACCACCAUAAGGAACGCCGCUCUCGCAUUGCACUUCUUUGUUUAUAUUUGAUCUGUUCCUAUUCGGUUUGCUGUAGUACUUAAUUGAUACACCAUUUCAAUUCUCUUGCCGUUUUCUUCUUGCUGCUUCAUUGUAUUCAGUUAUGAUAUAUUUUUCAACUGUACAAGCACUUGGGGAAGUCAGGAAAACUGAACCAAAGACAAACACUUUUACUGGAGAUGUUGGGGCUUUUUUUAACUGAGAUGUGACAGAUGCAUCUUAUUCCCUGAGAUAUAUUGCCUUUAAUUUCUUGAUUUUUUUCCCCGACAUGCUAAUAUAGAGCCAGAUAUGCAUGAUUCAUCAUACACAUUACAGUCAAUUAUCCAUUGGAAUCUUUUGUCCAUAGAGGUGAUCUUGUUUGGACCAUUAGUCUAGGUAGUGACAUUUUGAUCGAUAAGGCACAAGUUUAUUUUCUUUUUCACUCGGGCUACACUAAAGUAAGCAUCAUCAUCAGUGAAAAGAAGGCAUACAAAUCAUGAAGUUUUUGCCUUGGCUGUGUGCCUCGUUUAGUUGCCACUUAUUUAUUUCUAGGAAGUUAUUCAAUUCUCAUCGAGCUUUCCUUAUGCUUUCCAUUGCUAAAGAAGAAAUUUAAAUACGCAAUAUUUUUAAUAUCUGAGGAGGCGACAGGGGAUGAAAAAAGGUUGUAAGGUCGUACUUUGGUGCGUCUCUGGCCAACGAUGGCUGGAUCCAUCUGACGCUCUUCCAAGCAGAGCAGUGCAGAUUUGCUGACUGGUACAACAUCUAUGCGCUAUGCAUGAUUCAUCAUACACAUUACAGUCAAGUAUCCAUUGGAAUCUUUUGUCCAUAGAGGUGAUCUUGUUUGGAUCAUUAGUCUAGGUAGUGACAUUUUGAUCGAUAAGGCACAAGUUUAUUUUCUUUUUCACUCGGGCUACACUAAAGUAAGCAUCAUCAUCAGUGAAAAGAAGGCAUAAAAAUCGUGAAGUUUUUGCCUUGGUUGUGUGCCUCGUUUAGUUGUCACUUAUUUAUUUCUAGGAAGUUAUUCAAUUCUCAUCGAGCUUUCCUUAUGCUUUCCAUUGCUACAGAAGAAAUUUAAAUACACAAUAUUUUUAAUAUCUGAGGAGGCGAGAGGAGAUGAAAAAGGGUUGUAAGGUCGUACUUUGGUGCGUCUCUGGCCAACGAUGGCUGGAUCCAUCUGACGCUCUUCCAAGCAGAGCAGUACAGAUUUGCUGACUGGUACAGCAUCUAAGCCUUGGCUACUCUAGCUUCUUUUUACAUCUCUUAGUAUCAAGAAAUAAGUAGGUUACUGUAUAUACUUGAAGAUUGCAGCAGGCACAUAAUGCUUGGCUAACCAGCUGGUUAAUUGAGUUGUGCUUACAAAGGGUCAGUAGAGUUGUUGGUUUUUUCUAAAAUAAAUGAGGAUUAGUUUGGUUGCCAUGUGACGGUAAGGCCAGAAUGUGGUACUGAUAAGUGGUUCUGUAAUGGUCAUAUGUGUUCUAGAGUUGGAAGUUGAUUCUUUUUAAGUUGGAGUGGCUAGGUUGUCUAUAUGUAUUGCAUUAUUUUUCUACGAUGUACUGCUCUUUCUAAUGAUUUUUAAAGUUUAGUAUUUAAGUUUACGACAUUAUUCUUAUGCUUUUCAACAUUACACGGUUGAAAUCUUCUGUAUAAGAUAUUGCGCUUUCAACAUCUGCUCAUGGCGAUGUGUGUAUUCUGCUAUGAACUGACUACAUUAUAGAGAGUUGUGGUACCUACAUUUGUAUGAUUCCUUUUAGCUGAUGUUGGUUGCUCAUACUGACAAAAGGUGCGUUAACAAAUGAUCGCAGAGCAGUGGAGAAACAUGUUUCUAUGAAUGUGCCAAAACUGAUGGAUUUAACUACAGGUAUUUGCACUAUCAUUCUACCGGUAUAUUGUCGUAUUGCAUUAUUCAACUGUAAGUCUGUUCUAAACUCUAAGCCCCAUGUUGUAAGUCUGUUCCCUAUGUAAAUCUGAUGGAAGAUCGGGCCAUUUAAUUUGAACAAAAAAGGGUAGUAUGCUCUCAGUUGCUUAAAUCUGUCGAGACCUGAAAAUUAGAUAUACUUUGAAAGCUUGAUGUACGAGUAGGAGAUAGUUGAUAAAGUUGUACCUCUUGUAGGAGAUUAUUAGUUGAUUACCUGCUUCUAUGCGGUGAACAAAUGAGUAAGCAGUUUUAGUUGAUAAAGGUGUAGGCAACACACCUUUUUUGCUUCAUUUUUUGGUUUGUAAGUCCAGGAUGUUUAGACUUUUCUGAAUAUCUUAAUUGUAAAAUAAUUUUGAUGAAUUUUUUGAACCAUUCAGUCUGUUUUGUUCAUGCAGUUCAUGAUACCACAUCUGCAGGCUACAUCUUUUGUAGAUUUGGCUACCACAUUAUAUGAUGAUUUUUCACGUUGCUCAGUCAAAGUUUCAGUAAAAAAUUGAAUUGAACAUCUUUUUGUAGACAUACAAAAAUGGUCUGCAUUUUCUACAUCGCCCUGACAUCCAAUUCAAACUAUAUUUUCUGCCUAAACUAUUGUGUACCUAUGAUAUCAUGGGAUAACUCAGACAUGAGCCGGUGUCCAGUCGCAAUUGGGUGCAUUAUUUGGUGACAUCUAGUGCUAACUGUUUUUUCAAGGCCACCCAGUGGAGUGAGGGUUAGUAAUGUGGCAUCAGCCUAUUCUGAACCUCUGUAUUAUACUCCCUCCAAUCCAAAUUAAGUUUCGUGGUUUUAGUUCAAAAACCAUGACACUUAUUUUGAAUGGACCUGUGUAUUAUGCUUCCUCUGAUCCAAAUUAAGUGUCGUGGUUUUAGUUCAAAAACCACCACACUUAUUUUGGAUCGGAGGGAGUAGUAUUUAAGAGAUUCCUUGCAUACGCAUGAUUCAUAAAAGUACAGUGUGGGAUGCCAUUAUAAACUCAUGAAAUCUGAUCCUGAUAGUGACAUGAUUUACUCUGUAAAAGCUGUUUUUAUUGAAUCUGAUGAUGUCACUGCUGCUUGUUGCUGUAAGCAAGGAGAUUGACUACAA